UACGUAGGGGGGCAAGCGUUUGUCCGGAAUUAUUGGGCGUAAAGAGCGCGUAGGCGGUCCGAUAAGUCGGCUGUGAAAGUCAGGGGCUCAACCCUUGAAAGCCGGCCGAUACUGUCGGACUAGAGUCCGGAAGAGGCAAGUGGAAUUCCCGGUGUAGCGGUGAAAUGCGCAGAUAUCAGGAGGAACACCAAUUGCGAAGGCAGCUCGCUGGGACGUUACUGACGCUGAGACGCGAAAAGCGUGGGGAGCGAACAGGG
rnacentral:rRNA from 1 species